CUUUUACAAUGAAGAGUUUGAUCCUGGCUCAGGAUGAACGCUAGCUACAGGCUUAACACAUGCAAGUCGAGGGCAGCAUUUUAGUUUGCUUGCAAACUAAAGAUGGCGACCGGCGCACGGGUGAGUAACACGUAUCCAACCUGCCGAUAACUCGGGAUAGCCUUUCGAAAGAAAGAUUAAUAUCCGAUGGUAUAUUUUCUCCGCAUGGUGAGAAUAUUAAAGAAUUUCGGUUAUCGAUGGGGAUGCGUUCCAUUAGUUUGUUGGCGGGGUAACGGCCCACCAAGACCACGAUGGAUAGGGGUUCUGAGAGGAAGGUCCCCCACAUUGGAACUGAGACACGGUCCAAACUCCUACGGGAGGCAGCAGUGAGGAAUAUUGGUCAAUGGACGAGAGUCUGAACCAGCCAAGUAGCGUGAAGGAUGACUGCCCUAUGGGUUGUAAACUUCUUUUAUAUGGGAAUAAAGUGUUCCACGUGUGGGAUUUUGUAUGUACCAUAUGAAUAAGGAUCGGCUAACUCCGUGCCAGCAGCCGCGGUAAUACGGAGGAUCCGAGCGUUAUCCGGAUUUAUUGGGUUUAAAGGGAGCGUAGGUGGAUUGUUAAGUCAGUUGUGAAAGUUUGCGGCUCAACCGUAAAAUUGCAGUUGAAACUGGCAGUCUUGAGUACAGUAGAGGUGGGCGGAAUUCGUGGUGUAGCGGUGAAAUGCUUAGAUAUCACGAAAGAACUCCGAUUGCGAAGGCAGCUCACUAGACUGCAACUGACACUGAUGCUCGAAAGUGUGGGUAUCAAACAGGAUUAGAUACCCUGGUAGUCCACACAGUAAACGAUGAAUACUCGCUGUUUGCGAUAUACAGUAAGCGGCCAAGCGAAAGCAUUAAGUAUUCCACCUGGGGAGUACGCCGGCAACGGUGAAACUCAAAGGAAUUGACGGGGGCCCGCACAAGCGGAGGAACAUGUGGUUUAAUUCGAUGAUACGCGAGGAACCUUACCCGGGCUUAAAUUGCAUUUGAAUAAUCUGGAAACAGGUUAGCCGCAAGGCAAAUGUGAAGGUGCUGCAUGGUUGUCGUCAGCUCGUGCCGUGAGGUGUCGGCUUAAGUGCCAUAACGAGCGCAACCCUUAUCUUUAGUUACUAACAGGUCAUGCUGAGGACUCUAGAGAGACUGCCGUCGUAAGAUGUGAGGAAGGUGGGGAUGACGUCAAAUCAGCACGGCCCUUACGUCCGGGGCUACACACGUGUUACAAUGGGGGGUACAGAAGGCAGCUACCUGGCGACAGGAUGCUAAUCCCAAAAACCUCUCUCAGUUCGGAUCGAAGUCUGCAACCCGACUUCGUGAAGCUGGAUUCGCUAGUAAUCGCGCAUCAGCCAUGGCGCGGUGAAUACGUUCCCGGGCCUUGUACACACCGCCCGUCAAGCCAUGAAAGCCGGGGGUACCUGAAGUACGUAACCGCAAGGAGCGUCCUAGGGUAAAACUGGUAAUUGGGGCUAAGUCGUAACAAGGUAGCCGUACCGGAAGGUGCGGCUGGAACACCUCCUUU
rnacentral:rRNA from 1 species